GGCUUCGUAGCUCAGUCGGUCAGAGCGAGCGACUCAUAAUCGCUAGGUCCUCGGUUCAAAUCCGAGCGAAGCCACCA
rnacentral:tRNA from 1 species